rnacentral:rRNA from 2 species
GGCAGGGGGGAGAGCGGGGAAGCACAGAGAAUGAUUCCGGGUUCCCGCCCUUAAACGGUCACAUAUCGGGUGGAUCCUAACUGAGUCGUUCGCAAGUAACCCAUUGAAGUGACCCCUUGGGGGUUCCGCCGGCAAGUUUUAACUUAAAUGGAAUUGCGGGGGACCCCCCCAGGGGUGGGGCAUGGUGUUUAAUUUGAAGCAACGGGAAGAACCCUUCCACACCUUUACCUGCGCAGAAAUUUCUAAAAGAGGGUUGGUGCCUUCGGGAACUUCGACCCACGGGCUGCAGGGCUGUUAUUAACUAAUGUCGUGAGAUGAUGGGGUAAUUACCCUAACGAGGACCACCCCCGUCCCUAGUUGCCAGCACAUUCAGUUGGGCACUCUAAGGAGACUGCCGGUGACAAACCGGAGGAAGGUGGGGAUGACGUCAAGUCAUCAUGGCCCUUAUGGCUGGGGCUACACACGUGAUACAAUGGUUGGUACAGAGGGUUGCCAAGCCGCGAGGCGGACCUAAUCUCACAAAACCGAUCGUAGUCCGGAUCGCAGUCUGCAACUCGACUGCGUGAAGUCGGAAUCGCUAGUAAUCGCGAAUCAGAAUGUCGCGGUGAAUACGUUCCCGGGCCUUGUACACACCGCCCGUCCCCCCAUGGAGUGGGUCGCGCCCGUUUUGCUAGUCUAACCUUCGGGAGGGCGCUUACCACGGUGUGAUUCAUGACUGGGGGGAAAAUUCUAACCAAAGUGGACCCC